AUUGAACGCUGGCGGUAGGCCUAACACAUGCAAGUCGAACGCGAAAGUCCUUCGGAUGAGUAGAGUGGCGGACGGGUGAGUAACGCGUAGGAAUCUAUCCUGUAGUGGGGGAUAACGUUUCGAAAGGAACGCUAAUACCGCAUACGCCCCAAGGGGGAAAGCGGGGGAUCUUCGGACCUCGUGCUAUAGGAGGAGCCUGCGUCGGAUUAGCUAGUUGGUGAGGUAAAGGCUCACCAAGGCGACGAUCCGUAGCUGGUCUGAGAGGAUGAUCCGCCACACUGGGACUGAGACACGGCCCAGACUCCUACGGGAGGCAGCAGUGGGGAAUUUUGGACAAUGGGCGCAAGCCUGAUCCAGCCAUGCCGCGUGCAGGAAGACGGACCUAUGGUUUGUAAACUGCUUUUGAACGGGAGAAAACCCCCUACGUGUAGGGGGCUGAUAGUACUGUUAGAAUAAGCAUCGGCUAACUUCGUG
rnacentral:rRNA from 1 species